UUUGCCCCUUUAGGCGUUGCAGGCUGACUGUUUUAUGUCGUGUCUGUGUCACAAGGUGGCAGAGAGUGAAGGGCUAUGUCUACGCCAAGUUCCCACAAUGCAAAUGGGUGCUUAGUUUGAUUUGUAGUCCCUACAAA
ensembl:snoRNA